rnacentral:rRNA from 1 species
UACGUAGGGGGCAAGCGUUGUCCGGAUUUAUUGGGCGUAAAGGGUGCGUAGGCGGAUAGGUAAGUCCGUGGUGAAAUCCUGCAGCUUAACUGCAGAACUGCCAUGGAUACUAUUUAUCUUGAAUAUCGUGGAGGUUAGCGGAAUAUGUCAUGUAGCGGUGAAAUGCUUAGAUAUGACAUAGAACACCCAUUGCGAAGGCAGCUAACUACGCGAUGAUUGACGCUGAUGCACGAAAGCGUGGGGAUCAAACAGG